UGCCCCCUCGUCUAAUGGCAAGACACGCGGCUCUGGACCGUGGAAUCGGGGUUCGAAUCCCUGGGGGGCAA
rnacentral:tRNA from 1 species